GCCCGUUUAGCUCAGUGGUAGAGCGCGCCACUUGUACUCCAUUUCGUGCAUUCGCGAUGGUGAGGUCGGUUGUUCAAUCCAGCCAAUGGGCA